rnacentral:lncRNA from 1 species
GAACAAGCAAGAAAAACUGCUUUGCAUGUGUUUCAUCAUUUUCUGCGUCCAAUAUUUUCCCUUGGCAAAGCUCCAUUCCCCACAAAUAGAAUUCGACAAAUCAGUUGAGACCCACUUCAUAUGUGAUUCGGCCACCUAUGCCUUGGAAUCCCCAUAUCUCACCCUCAAAUCUCACCUUUCACAAUCUAGAGCUCUCGAGUAUCAACAUAAAUAACGCACUUCAAUUCCCUUUUAUCCUAAUAGCCAAAAGACCAAAGGGCAGACGAGAUUAACUCAAGAUAGUGUGAAGAAAACCUUGAUUCGACAGGAGGAUACGAGACUUUUGGUGAGAGCACAAUAUUGCUAUAAUGCUAACCAUGAAACAUUCCCCAUGUAAUAUUUGUUUAGGCUGUGGUUGAGUUCAUGAUUAGAAAAUCAUGAAAAGAUUCAUGAUCAGGCAGGCCGUUGCUAGAGUCCACAUAAGAAUCCUUUUAAUUUAGGAUUCUCAUAUAUUCCUCCUUCUUUUCAGCUCCUUUUGGAUCUGCACCUUUGCUUCAGGACUGAGAAAGGUGCAUCAAGCCUCAACAGCAUAUCACUAUAGAAUAAAUAUUUAAAAGAAGUUAGAAAAUUGAAACAGGUUUCACACAUUGCCAACAAAAGCAAUAGACCAAGUGGAUCAUAUGAAGAAAAAAAGAAGCAAGCAAAACCUUUACUAAUAGGCAUUAUGGUCAGUUUCUUGCCUGAAAGAAGGCAUGUAAGGAGUGAGAGUCAAACUGAAUUGCCAUGAACAACGACCCAAUUCUGCUUUGGAUUGCCACAAUUGACAACCCUGAAUAUGUUGAUAUUUGCAUUUUCUUCCUUUCUUUUAUUUUUUUCUUCUUUCAUUUGUAUGUUUG